GUAGACGCCACAUGAGCUGAGCAUCCUUGGUUUGGGAGAAGGGAGGAUGAGCAGCAGGCCGAGCGGCUGCAGGAGAGGAGGCGGCAGCAGGAGCAGAGCAGGACGGAGCAGCUCGGCCCGGACCGCCUCAGGAAGAACCAGAGCUUUCUGCAGAAACUGGAGAGCAGGGCUUCAGGUGCGCUGGCCUCCUGCAGAGCCCCACAGACGCCCCCCGGGGCGUGUGCCCAUCAGCACGAGGCCGUGGAGACUGAACCGAGAGACAAGCUGGAGAAGAGCGAGAGAGCCGUGGAGCUGGAACACAAGAGAGUGAACACAGCGUUUCUGGACAAACUGGAGGCUGAAGGCAGAAGGAGCGAGACCAGCGCUCCGGAGGCAGAGCGGCUUGAAGCACUCCGUCCGGCUCCAGCUGCAGAACCGGUCCCACCCGCUGACGGGAGCCCAGAUCCAGCGCCGAGCGGCUCCGACGGGACCGAGGCAGCCGACCUGGAGCCCGAGUUGGACUGGGCCUUGAUGAAGCUGGUGAGCAGCUUUCCAGACGGAGACCCAGCCUUCCUCCAGGACAUCCUGGGGCAGUGUGGGGGCGACUACCAGCAGGCCUGCAGGCUGCUGAAGCCCCCGCUCAGCUGAGGCCUCGCUCCGCAGACCCUCCUGCACCUCCCGGGCCGUGUGCGCUUCCUGGAGCCUGUUUUGGAUUAUACUAUUAAUGUGCUUUGCCCCCCCCUCCUCGUAGCACUGAGUCAUGCCUGCUUUUAGUCCUGACAUUGACUUGAAUUGAUGAUCAUUUUCACCACUUUAGUCAAAGGUCAUCGCCAUGACUCAGUCCUCUGGUCAUAUUUUGGGCUCUUAAUUAAAUCAGUGUGUGCACAUUUUGUUUGUUUUCUAAUCACGCUCAUGUGUGACGGAUUCUUAAGGGCAACAAAAGAUGCAAAUAGGAUUCCACGAAGGAGGACCUUUAAUGCUUGCUUUGUUUCAGCCUCGUAGUUGGCAGAGAGCUCAGUAACCGAGCUUUCAGCUCUGUCCCAUUCGUGGAAUAGUUUCCUUCAUCAGCCUGGGUCAGGUUUUCAGGUGGGCAGUCGGCACCGAGCUGCUGCCGUGUCUCUACAUGCCAUCCUCUCCAUCUGAGUGGAGGAACAGAGCACAAAGGCUGGAGAAGUGCCAUCAUCCACCAAACACCUUCAACGAGAGAGCGGGGUCCUCCGCGUUACUGAGGUCAACGCCAACCUGCUCGCUUCCGACUCCAGCAGGAAUCAAACACAGAUUGAUUUUACAUGAAGGAACGGAUGCCGUGUUUUCACGGGUGCUAACGUUUGUCUGAGGUGGAUGAAACGUCUGCAUGUCAAGUACAAGGAACGUACUGCAUCAAGCUCUUCAGUGAUUGCAUGAUACUUCCCUCUGUAGUGGAAUCGAAGCCUCAUUAAACCUCUUCAGUAAAGUCAGGAUUCCUCAGCGGCUGCGUUCGUCCACUCUCCCCAUCAGCUCAUUACAGCGAAAGCCAACAAGCUUUAGAGCGGUACCGUGUUCUGGUUCAGCAGCGGGUCAGGCUGGGUGGAG
ensembl:lncRNA